UACAGGGGGUGCAAACGUUGCUCGGAAUCAUUGGGCGUAAAGCGCACGUAGGCGGUUCGUUAUGUCGGAUGUGAAAGCCCUUGGCUUAACCGAGGAAGUGCAUCCGAAACUGGCGAGCUAGAGUACGAAAGAGGAUCGCGGAAUUCCCGGUGUAGAGGUGAAAUUCGUAGAUAUCGGGAGGAACACCGGUGGCGAAGGCGGCGAUCUGGGUAGAUACUGACGCUGAGGUGCGAAAGCGUGGGGAGCGAACAGG
rnacentral:rRNA from 1 species